ACAGAAUGCUAUGUCUAUCUGCUACAAGGCCGGAAAUCUUAGCUCAGCAGCGAACUUUGCUAGAAGACUCUUGGAGACCAAUCCCACCAAUGAAAGCCAAGCCAGAACAGCCCGCCAGGUUCUGCAAGCAGCUGAGAAAAAUAUGCGAGAUGUUACACAGUUGAAUUAUGAUUUCAGAAAUCCUUUUACAGUGUGUGGGGCAACAUAUGUCCCGAUAUACCGGGGUCAGAAGGAUGUCACUUGUCCUUACUGUGGUACUCAUUUUGUACUGUCUCAGCAAGGGGGGCUUUGUACUGUUUGUGAUCUUGCAGU
rnacentral:misc_RNA from 1 species